rnacentral:tRNA from 1 species
UAAAUCUUAAGUUAUAUUAAACUAUGAACCUUCCAAGUUCGAAAAAAGACUUUCUUAGAUUUAA